rnacentral:lncRNA from 1 species
CCAUUAAACAAUACUGUACUAUAACGGAGUUCUUUAGACAUGGUGAUAUUAUGAACAAUUUCACUUCUCCUUUGCCUUCUUCCAUACUGAAUAAGGUUAGCCGCCUACUUCUAAUCCAUCAUUCAACUCAUCUGACUAGUGGAAGAGAUGGCAAGCUUUGGAAAUGGAGUUCUAGCAAGAGUUGAAGGAAAAAUGGGUAGUUCAAAGCAUGUAUUUUUAAAAAUUUUUAUCAUCAAAAAAUAAAAUAUUAAAUAUUUUAAUCUCCUAUACAUGCUUUAAAUCA